UACGGGGGGGGCAAGCGUUGUUCGGAAUUACUGGGCGUAAAGGGCUCGUAGGCGGCCAACUAAGUCAGACGUGAAAUCCCUCGGCUUAACCGGGGAACUGCGUCUGAUACUGGAUGGCUUGAGUUUGGGAGAGGGAUGCGGAAUUCCAGGUGUAGCGGUGAAAUGCGUAGAUAUCGGGAGGAACACCAGCGGCGAAGGCGGCACUCUGGGCUGGAACUGACGCUGAGGAGCGAAAGCGUGGGUAGCAAACAGG
rnacentral:rRNA from 1 species